rnacentral:rRNA from 1 species
GCGAGGAGGAGGCUACUUAGAUUAAUACUCUAGGAUAGUGGACGUUACUCGCAGAAUAAGCACCCGGCUAACUCUGUGCCAGCAGCCGCGGUAAUACAGAGGGUGCGAGCGUUAAUCGGAUUUACUGGGCGUAAAGCGUGCGUAGGCGGCUGAUUAAGUCGGAUGUGAAAUCCCUGAGCUUAACUUAGGAAUUGCAUUCGAUACUGGUCAGCUAGAGUAUGGGAGAGGAUGGUAGAAUUCCAGGUGUAGCGGUGAAAUGCGUAGAGAUCUGGAGGAAUACCGAUGGCGAAGGCAGCCAUCUGGCCUAAUACUGACGCUGAGGUACGAAAGCAUGGGGAGCAAACAGGAUUAGAUACCCUGGUAGUCCAUGCCGUAAACGAUGUCUACUAGCCGUUGGGGCCUUUGAGGCUUUAGUGGCGCAGCUAACGCGAUAAGUAGACCGCCUGGGGAGUACGGUCGCAAGACUAAAACUCAAAUGAAUUGACGGGGGCCCGCACAAGCGGUGGAGCAUGUGGUUUAAUUCGAUGCAACGCGAAGAACCUUACCUGGCCUUGACAUAGUAAGAACUUUCCAGAGAUGGAUUGGUGCCUUCGGGAACUUACAUACAGGUGCUGCAUGGCUGUCGUCAGCUCGUGUCGUGAGAUGUUGGGUUAAGUCCCGCAACGAGCGCAACCCUUUUCCUUAUUUGCCAGCGAGUAAUGUCGGGAACUUUAAGGAUACUGCCAGUGACAAACUGGAGGAAGGCGGGGACGACGUCAAGUCAUCAUGGCCCUUACGGCCAGGGCUACACACGUGCUACAAUGGUCGGUACAAAGGGUUGCUACCUAGCGAUAGGAUGCUAAUCUCAAAAAGCCGAUCGUAGUCCGGAUUGGAGUCUGCAACUCGACUCCAUGAAGUCGGAAUCGCUAGUAAUCGCGAU